rnacentral:rRNA from 1 species
CGGGUGAGUAACGCGUGAGGAACCUGCCUCAAAGAGGGGGACAACAGUUGGAAACGACUGCUAAUACCGCAUAAGCCCACGGCUCGGCAUCGAGCAGAGGGAAAAGGAGUGAUCCGCUUUGAGAUGGCCUCGCGUCCGAUUAGCUGGUUGGUGAGGUAAUGGCCCACCAAGGCGACGAUCGGUAGCCGGACUGAGAGGUUGAACGGCCACAUUGGGACUGAGACACGGCCCAG